rnacentral:rRNA from 1 species
CCAGACUCCUACGGGAGGCAGCAGUGGGGAAUAUUGCACAAUGGGGGAAACCCUGAUGCAGCAACGCCGCGUGAGUGAGGAAGUAUUUCGGUAUGUAAAGCUCUAUCAGCAGGGAAUAGAAAAGAAGGUACCUGAAAAAGAAGCCCCGGCUAACUACGUGCCAGCAGCCGCGGUAAUACGGAGGAUGCGAGCGUUAUCCGGAUUUAUUGGGUUUAAAGGGCGCGUAGGCGGAUUUUUAAGUCAGCGGUAAAAUGUCCGGGCUCAACCCGGGCCGGCCGUUGAAACUGGCAGUCUUGAGUGGGCGAGAAGUAUGCGGAAUGCGUGGUGUAGCGGUGAAAUGCAUAGAUAUCACGCAGAACUCCGAUUGCGAAGGCAGCAUACCGGCGCCCUACUGACGCUGAGGCACGAAAGCGUGGGUAUCGAACAGGAUUAGAUACCCCCGUA